UGCGUAGGCGGGCUAAUAAGUCAGUGGUGAAAUCUCUCGGCUCAACCGGGAAACUGCCAUUGAUACUGUUAGUCUUGAGUUCGGUUGAGGUAGGCGGAAUGUGUAAUCUAGCGGUGAAAUGCUUAGAUAUUACACAGAACACCAAUUGCGUAGGCAGCUUACUAGACCGACACUGACGCUGAGGCACGAAAGCGUGGGGAGCGAACAGGAUUAGAUACCCUGGUAGUCC
rnacentral:rRNA from 1 species